UACAGAGGGUGCGAGCGUUAAUCGGAAUUACUGGGCGUAAAGCGCGCGUAGGUGGCUUGACAAGUCGGAUGUGAAAUCCCCGGGCUCAACCUGGGAACUGCAUUCGAAACUGUCUUGCUAGAGUAUGGGAGAGGGAGGUGGAAUUUCAGGUGUAGCGGUGAAAUGCGUAGAUAUCUGAAGGAACAUCAGUGGCGAAAGCGACCUCCUGGACCAAUACUGACGCUCAUGUGCGAAAGCGUGGGGAGCAAACAGG
rnacentral:rRNA from 1 species